UGGGGAAUAUUGCACAAUGGGGGAAACCCUGAUGCAGCGACGCCGCGUGAGCGAAGAAGUAUUUCGGUAUGUAAAGCUCUAUCAGCAGGGAAGAUAAUGACGGUACCUGACUAAGAAGCCCUGGCUAACUACGUGCCAGCAGCCGCGGUAAAACGUAGGUGGCAAGCGUUGUCCGGAAUUACUGGGUGUAAAGGGAGCGCAGGCGGAAGGACAAGUUGGAAGUGAAACCCACGGGCUCAACUCGUGAACUGCUUUCAAAACUGUUUUUCUUGAGUGGUGUAGAGGUAGGCGGAAUUCCCGGUGUAGCGGUGGAAUGCGUAGAUAUCGGGAGGAACACCAGUGGCGAAGGCGGCCUACUGGGCACUAACUGACGCUGAGGCUCGAAAGCAUGGGUAGCAAACAGGAUUAGAUACCCUGGUAGUCCAUGCCGUAAACGAUGAUUACUAGGUGUGGGAGGAUUGACCCCUUCCGUGCCGCAGUUAACACAAUAAGUAAUCCACCUGGGGAGUACGACCGCAAGGUUGAAACUCAAAGGAAUUGACGGGGGCCCGCACAAGCAGUGGAGUAUGUGGUUUAAUUCGAAGCAACGCGAAGAACCUUACCAGGUCUUGACAUCGGAUGCAUAGCUAAGAGAUUAGCGAAGCCCUUCGGGGCAUCCAGACAGGUGGUGCAUGGUUGUCGUCAGCUCGUGUCGUGAGAUGUUGGGUUAAGUCCCGCAACGAGCGCAACCCUUACUGUUAGUUACUACGCAAGAGGACUCUAGCAGGACUGCCGUUGACAAAACGGAGGAAGGUGGGGAUGACGUCAAAUCAUCAUGCCCUUUAUGACCUGGGCUACACACGUACUACAAUGGCGUUAAACAAAGAGAAGCGAAGCCGCGAGGUGGAGCAAACCUCAAAAACAACGUCCCAGUUCAGACUGCAGGCUGCAACUCGCCUGCACGAAGUCGGAAUUGCUAGUAAUCGCGGAUCAGCAUGCCGCGGUGAAUACGUUCCC
rnacentral:rRNA from 1 species